rnacentral:rRNA from 1 species
AUUGAACGCCGGCGGCAUGCCUUACACAUGCAAGUCGAACGGCAGCACGGGGCAACCUGGUGGCGAGUGGCGAACGGUGAGUAAUGCAUCGGAACGUACCUUUCAGUGGGGGAUAACGUAGCGAAAGUUACGCUAAUACCGCAUAUUCUGUGAGCAGGAAAGCAGGGGAUCGCAAGACCUUGCGCUGAUUGAGCGGCCGAUGUCAGAUUAGCUAGUUGGUGAGGUAAAGGCUCACCAAGGCGACGAUCUGUAGCGGGUCUGAGAGGAUGAUCCGCCACACUGGAACGGAGACACGGUCCAGACUCCUACGGGAGGCAGCAGUGGGGAAUUUUGGACAAUGGGGGCAACCCUGAUCCAGCCAUGCCGCGUGAGUGAAGAAGGCCUUCGGGUUGUAAAGCUCUUUCGGCCGGGAAGAAAUCGCACGGGCUAAUACCCUGUGUGGAUGACGGUACCGGAAUAAGAAGCACCGGCUAACUACGUGCCAGCCGCCGCCGUAAAAC